UACGGGGGGGCAAGCGUUGUUCGGAAUUACUGGGCGUAAAGCGCACGUAGGCGGCUUUCUAAGUCGGGGGUGAAAUCCUGGAGCUCAACUCCAGAACUGCCUUCGAUACUGGAAAGCUCGAGUCCGGGAGAGGUGAGUGGAACUGCGAGUGUAGAGGUGAAAUUCGUAGAUAUUCGCAAGAACACCAGUGGCGAAGGCGGCUCACUGGCCCGGUACUGACGCUGAGGUGCGAAAGCGUGGGGAGCAAACAGGG
rnacentral:rRNA from 1 species